rnacentral:rRNA from 1 species
UACGAAGGGGGCUAGCGUUGUUCGGAAUUACUGGGCGCAAAGCGCACGUAGGCGGACUAUUAAGUCAGGGGUGAAAUCCCGGGGCUCAACCCCGGAACUGCCUUUGAUACUGGUAGUCUCGAGUCCGGAAGAGGUGAGUGGAAUUCCGAGUGUAGAGGUGAAAUUCGUAGAUAUGACACAGAACACCAGUGGCGAAGGCGGCUCACUGGCCCGGUACUGACACUGAGGCACGAAAGCGUGGGGAGCAAACAGG